rfam:Salmo salar isolate Sally breed double haploid chromosome ssa03, whole genome shotgun sequence.
UGCAUUUACUACUGUAAGUCGCUCUGUAUAAGAGCGUCUGUUAAAUGACUAAAA